rnacentral:lncRNA from 1 species
UCGGCUGACAGAGGCUGAUGGGAAAGCCGCGGGAGCUCACGGGCCCGGCAGCAAGCCAGGGAGCUAAGCCCCGGCGCUCUGUCCGUGUGUGUGUGUGUGUGUGUGUGUGUGGCUGCCGCCCCUGGACACUUACACAGGUGGACACUGGCUCUCCUGAGGACACACCUGCUGCUUCCCGCCCACCACCCGCAAGUCUGCCCCAGAUCUAAGCAGGAGCCCCAAGGAAAGUUUUGGGGUGAGAUAAUCAACACAAGAGCUCUCGGCGCCUUCGACACACCCCGCAGGAGUCAGCCUGUGCCGGCCCAGCCCGAGCCCUGGAGGAGCCUCUGCCCUUGCCCGUGCUUUUCCUGGACCCUGUGAUGCAGACAGCGCCAUAGGAAAUGCCAGAGGGAGCCACAGAGCCGCGAACGGGAUUUCGCCUGCUGCCUGGCCAUCCCCUGGCCAUUCCCUCCGGGGCUUCUGCCCAGGAGCUGGGUCUCUCUCCUUUCCCCCAUGAUCUGUAAUCUUGUUUUUAACUCUCUUGAGUCUUGUGAUCAGAUAAUGUAGACAUUUUGUGCUGAUGGUGUAUCUCCUCUACUUUAGUCCUAAUGAGUUGGGAAAAGCACCAUUACUGAACACAAUUACACAGUAGUUCCUCAAUUUUGUUUGUCUCCAAAUAGCUGUUUAUAAACAGUCCUGAGUUAUAACUUAGUCUAAUGUAGUAAAUAAUUAUUUUUUAAAGAUUUAUUUAUUUGAAAGGCAGAGUUAGAGAGAGGCAGAGGCAGAGGCAGAGGCAGAGGGAGAGAGAGAGAGAGAGAGAGAGAGGUCUUCCAUCUAUUGGUUCACUCCCCAGAUGGCUGCAAUAGCUGGAGCUGCACCGAUCUGAAGCCAGGAGCCAGGAGCUUCUUCCGGGUCUCCCAUGUGAGUGCAGGGGCCCAAGCACUUGGGCCAUCUUCUACUGCUUUCCCAGGCCACAGCAGAGAGCUGGAUUGAAAGAGGGACAGCCAUUACACUAACAGGUGCCAUAUAGGAUGCCGGCACUUGCAGGUGCUGCUACACCACAACGCCAGCCCUGGUAGUGAAGAAUUCGAGGUUUAACUUGUUAUUCUACCUGGCCAGGCUGACUUUCAAAGCACCUGACCUAACAGAUCAUCUAUAAAAUGCGAGGAGUGUUCAAUAUGCUUUAUUUGAUAUACAUAAACCACACUAAAAUGCCUUUCAGUAAGGAAAAGGUGGCGGUUUAGAUACAGGAAAUUCUAAUAGCUUCUAUUUAUUUUCCAUCGAUUUAAUCAAAAAGUGCUGGACACAACUGAAUUCAUUUCAUGACUCACUAGUGGGUCGUAAUCCUCGUGUGAAGAAUACUGCUCUCUCGGGACCUGCUGACGGCUGGACAGAGGGGCUGGACAGAGGCAUCGGAGGGGAGGGAUCCCCAGAGCUGGUGUCCACGGUUGGCCUGGGAAGUCCCCUGAGAACUGUCCUUGUCUCCCGCAUUAACUCUUUCAUACCCAGCAGAGAGCACACAGGGCUAAGUCAAAUGGUCUUAAGUAAAAACAAAACAAUAAAUCAAAUGUCUUAAAAAAAGUUUAUUUACUC